rnacentral:rRNA from 1 species
UGUUACACUUUAUGUAAAUUAUAACAUUACCUGGGUAUUAAACAGUUAUUGUCUUGAAACUCAAAGGAUUUGGCGGUAAUUUAGUCUAUUUAGAGGAACCUGUUCUGUAAUCGAUAGUCCACGAAAAAUCUUACUUUGUCUGGUAGAAAACAGUUUGUAUACCGUCAUUAUUAGAUAACUUUAAUAAAAUAUAAAGUUGUUGCAAGAGUUUAGCUAAUAUAUUAGAUCAAGGUGCAGCUUAUGAUAAAGGAAGAGAUGGGUUACAAUAUGACAAAUAUAAACGGAGUAAUAAGUGAAUACUUGUUGCCGAAGGUGGAUUUAAAAGUAAGAAGAUUUUAAUAAGAUCUUUUGACCCUAGCUCUAGGUUAU